rnacentral:tRNA from 1 species
GAAGGCUCGGCCGAAUGGUUAAGCUGUCCGCCUAGUAAGCGGAAGAUCAUGGGGUCGAUUCUCAUCUGCUUCA